CAACCAUAGUGCACCAACGCAGCUUACUUUUGGAGUUUUAAGAUGGCGCCUCUCUCUGUUUUACUAUUCUUUCUUUUCUCUCAUCUUCCGUUUCUUUACUCUGCUGAAACAUCGAAAUACCCCUCUCCUUGUCCAAACUUCAAAUGUGGAAAAUUGGGCGAUAUUAGGUUUCCUUUCACUCCAGCAACGAACCCGGCCUGUGGGCUGUUGAAAGUAAAUUGUAGCGACCACAAGAUCCAACUGCAGAGGCGAGGAAUAUGGUAUAAAGUUGAGAACAUCUCUGAGGCUGACACCAUUUCUAUCAGUGAUUCAGAACUUCAGAAUCAUUUGGAUAAAGAACGAUGUGAUUUCUUUGAGGAAUUCUCUACUCCCCGCUCUAGAAUGGUCUCUUUCCAAUUUGUACCUAAUAUUACCUUGUUCAAAUGCAACCGCAGCUUCAACAGCACUCACGGCUCUGGUUUUAGUUAU
rnacentral:misc_RNA from 1 species